rnacentral:rRNA from 1 species
GAUGAACGCUGGCGGCGUGCCUAAUACAUGCAAGUCGAGCGAACAGACGAGGAGCUUGCUCCUCUGACGUUAGCGGCGGACGGGUGAGUAACACGUGGAUAACCUACCUAUAAGACUGGGAUAACUUCGGGAAACCGGAGCUAAUACCGGAUAAUAUAUUGAACCGCAUGGUUCAAUAGUGAAAGACGGUUUUGCUGUCACUUAUAGAUGGAUCCGCGCCGCAUUAGCUAGUUGGUAAGGUAACGGCUUACCAAGGUAACGAUGCGUAGCCGACCUGAGAGGGGGAUAGGCCACACUGGAAGUGAGACAGGCACCAGACUCCUAAGGGAGGCAGCAGUAGGGAACCUUCCGCAAUGGGCGAAAGCCUGACGGAGCAACGCCGCGUGAGUGAUGAAGGUCUUCGGAUCGUAAAACUCUGUUAUUAGGGAAGAACAAAUGUGUAAGUAACUAUGCACGUCUUGACGGUACCUAAUCAGAAAGCCACGGCUAACUACGUG